GUGGCUCAAUGGCAGAGCACUUGCCUGGCAUGUGUGAGGCCCUGGGUUCGAUUCUCAGC
rnacentral:tRNA from 1 species